rnacentral:rRNA from 1 species
GACUCAGUGAAGUUGAAAUUGCGGUGAAGAUGCCGUAUACCCGCGGCUAGACGGAAAGACCCCGUGAACCUUUACUAUAGCUUGGCACUGAACAUUGAACCUACAUGUGUAGGAUAGGUGGGAGACUUUGAAGUUGUGACGCUAGUCAUGAUGGAGUCGUCCUUGAAAUACCACCCUUGUAGUUUUGAUGUUCUAACCUAGGUCCCUUAUCGGGAUUAGGGACAGUGCCUGGUGGGUAGUUUGACUGGGGCGGUC